rnacentral:rRNA from 1 species
AAACAUCGCCUCCUGACUAAACAUAGGAGGUCCAGCCUGCCCAGUGAUAACAUUCAACGGCCGCGGUAUACUAACCGUGCGAAGGUAGCAUAAUCACUUGUUCUUUAAAUAAGGACUUGUAUCAACGGCACCACGAGGGCUAUACUGUCUCCCCCCUCCAAUCAGUGAAACUGAUCUCCCCGUGAAGAAGCGGGGAUUAAUAUAUAAGACGAGAAGACCCCAUGGAGCUUUAAACCCAAUAUACACCCCUUCGCUCAAGCACCAAUUUAACCUCAAGGAUCUGUAUAUCGGUUUUAGGCUGGGGGGGCCACGGAGUAAAAUUAAACCUCCACAACAAAUGGGCUAAUUACCCUUAUCUACGAUUUACGAAUCUAAGAAUCAUCAAAAUGAUGUUUAAUGACCCGAUAAUUCGAUCAUUGAACCAAGUUACCCUGGGGAUAACAGCGCAAUCCACUUCAAGAGCCCAUAUCGACAAGUGGGUUUACGACCUCGAUGUUGGAUCAGGGUAUCCCAGUGGUGCAACCGCUACUAACGGUUCGUUUGUUCAACGAUUAAAACCCU